GUGGUUCAAACGAAAACACGCACAAAAUCAGUCACACAGAGACAAAACACAACGCGCUUUUCUUCCUCCUCACUAUUUGGCAUUCGGCAAAGUGUGUAGCUCGCUGCUUUUCUUUUCGUUUCUUUGUUUUUGUUAAAUCCUUAAACUACCAGUCGAUUAACGGCCCAGUCCGUCAACUCGAAACUCAAUUAGCUCAUGUUUUGACAAUCCAUUAAGUGUUUCAUCCUUUUUCAAGCGUAAUUGCCAAAUAUUUAGUGGUCCCCGCCUCUUAAAUUCGAGGAUAAGCAGCUUUCUCGGUUUUCAUAACGCUGUAAAUCUCGCUUCGGAUCGUUGGAUUGCUGUGUUUUGACUAAUUUAAUUCGAACCCAAGCGUUCAUUUUAAAGUUUCAUUUUAAAGAUCUUGCACAGUUGUGGCAAAAAAAAAACUAAUUGUCCACAGACGGAUUGAACACAAUACUGAAUGAUUUGUUGUCCUGCGCUGAAAAGUUAUGCUUCCUGGUUAAAAAGCUGUUCUCUUCUGACACUGACAGUGGCUUUGCUACGGGUGACGGCUGCCUGGUCUGGUCUAGGGGGACGGUGCGUGAAUGAAUACCAGUUCCAAAAGUUGGUCAGUGUUAUUUAUUUCUUCUGUCAGCGGUUUUAAUUUUGUGGCUGACUUGGUGUAAACCCCUUGAUAUUUUUCUCAUAAGAAAAGAAAAACUUAAAUGAUGCAUAUGUAAUUUCUUUCAGCUUCACUAUAUAAAUGUCCUGGCACACGUGUCACGGAUUAAUAAAAGGAGAGAUCACUGAAACUCAAGCGCACAAAGGAAAACGCGAGAGCGAUUGCACCUCUAACUGAGAGGAAAAUCGCAGGAUGACGGCGGCUGCGCUCAUAACAAGUCGGGAGGACGUCAUUUCUCAUACUAAUUUGGGAGCAGAAACUUUAUCGGGGUUAUGGUGAGAAAUUACAUCCUGGAUUCAUUAGGCUGUCUGUGCCCUCAUUAUCCUCUUAUCUGCGGAGCGAGGCCGCCUUGUAUUUUGGACGGAACACAACACGGGCCUUAUCUGCCUUCCUUCCUUGGAGAAGGGGAUGAUAGCCAGGACCUAUUUUCUGUGAUGACUACGGCGAGAGUGAAACGGGAUCGCUGCUAAUGCUGUUACGCCGAAAAUGAUGCACGCUGCGAUCAAGCCUUUUUUAAACGUCUGAAGGGCUUAUUUUUGCACCGUCGGGAGGAGGGCUGCAAUAAGGCAAACAAACGAAGCAGCCAGACCCCGGCCGUGCCUCUGGGGUUUCACAGUGGCUUGGGCUUGGCCGAGAGCUGAAGAAAAUCAGAGGCCCGGGAUCCUGGCCGUAGGCCUGCACCUUGCUGGGUUCUCCCAGGGCAUGGUGUGAAUACUGAGAGGGCCUUUGGCACACUCCCCCCCCCCCCUCCCUUAUAAGGAUUAUUUAUUUAAAAAGGGAAACAAAAUAAGGCAGCGUGGUAAGCUUCACUCAAUGCACCAACUCAAUCCAGUGUGAAAAGACUAUUGUUGAGAACUGAAAUCAGUUCGUCUUUGCAGCCGAGCGGAUUCAUUGUAGCGGUGUUUAGACGACAGGAAAAGACAGAAGCAGAGGGGAUGAAACAGGAUAUGCAGAUAGAGGAAGGAGGUCUGUAAGACUUCUCUGCCCCGCUGCGGAUAUUAAUGCUGUCCUGACACAAAAACAAUGAUUCCUUUAUACAGUGCUUAAGUGAAGAGGCUAAGUGAGGCAGAAGGAAGUCCGGUAUUAUUAAGCUGUUAGAGCUUCUCUUUAGGGCUGAGUCACCGGCACUCUUAAAAAUUACCUUCCUGCACUGGAGUGAAAGUGGCGGCUGCAGAUCAGCCCCAUGCUUCAGCCCCACUACCUGCUUCUUUAAUAGCAGCUCCGUUAUAUUGGAGACAAGAUUACGAGUGAAGUUCCAGGCAAAUGUCAGGUCGCCCCGAGCUAAACGCUAUUGGCUGCAGCCUGACGAGGUUCACAGAAUCGCGUCGGGCCACGUUCCACGCGCAGAUCACAGCGCCAAGACAUGACCUGAGAAACUGAUAUGAUUCAGCAAAGGGAGCAGAGCAAACCUCGAUGUGAUGCUCCGGCAAAACAGGAAGACAGAGGGAUCCGCUGGUAUUUCCUGUGAUGUUGCCCUGGAUCUGGUAGGCGGCCUGAUCGAACAAGUCCAGGUAGUCCUCCACCGGGUAUCGAUCAUGGAAGCCCUCGCUGAGACGAAUGAUGCCUGACGGAUAAAGACUUUGAAGAAACAGCUGAUGAGCGGAUUGCGAACGCCAGUGCCGGCAGAAGCAAUGCAUUUUACUGUACGUUCUCGUCUGCGAAACCAUCUGCUCAUCCUCGCCGCCGCGACCUCUCAGAGGCAGGAAGUGGAUUUUGGUUGAAGUCCACCAAUAACACAGGAAGUGCUGUCGGGGCAGGAGCAUGACAGAGGCAGUUGGAAGGAGGAACAAAGGGGUUGUCUUUGCUGUGUCAGCUGGAAAAAAUAAAUAUGUUUUCCCACCACAGCCACUCACAGUAAUUAAAGUUCAGCAGGAGGCCACUGUGAGGGUGGUACACUCACUCACACGGCGUGUGACACUGGAGCAGCCUCCCGGUUGGUUGAGGAACACCGGUGACAAAUAGCUGCUGAUGAUGCUGACACUGCCUACUCUGAUAUCAAGGAUAUUUUAAUUUUCUGAGGGGAUCCCUCUGCAGAAACAAAAGGAUAUAUAAGCAUUUGGAUGUAGUAUAAAUUAUUUACCAUUCCUUUAUGGUGCAUCCAUUACUUAGUGUCUUAUUUUGCUCUGAAAUGAGUAAAAGUUGCAGAAGUUCCCAGAAAUGUGUGUCACUUUGCUUUCACUCUUCUGUCCAGUUCAUCUCAAUCCAGCUCCAUUGGGUUAAAGUCUAGAGACUCCAUGUUUUCAAAGUUUCCAUCUGUUUUUUUAUCAUGAGGUAGUUCUGGUACAGUUUGAGCUAAAGUUUUGGGUGACUGCCUUGUUGUAGGAUGAAACCGUGACCAACUGUACCAGAGGAAACUUUUGACUGCUAGUGCACUUGUACUCGAAACGGCUCUGCAACUGCUCAGGGUUAGCAACCAAUGUUGGCUGCAAAGGUGUCAGGAGUAGCUCUAACCUCUAAGCGGUAACGGGAAAAUCUGCCUUGUCUGUGUCUGCUUUAUAGUAAAAGCAACGCUGCGUGUGUCACUUGUGUGAAGCAGCCAGCAGGAUUCGGUGAGAAAUGAAUCACAGCUACACAAGGAAGUGUUAAACUUCAGCGUGUUUGUGCUGGAAAUGUAAUUUCUCAAACUCGAUUUUCAACCGUAUUUUGUACGUUUGAUAUGGUUCAAAACCAACAAAAAUAAUAGAUAACUCGUGUAAAUAAAUGCUUGUAGAAGUUGUGAUAAAAACGUAAAAUAUGAGCUUUAACUGUGGAUUUGUAUUUAAAUAAAUGAAUUAAAUUGGAAAAAAGCAUCAUUGCCGAGUGCAAAUUAACCGAGAACCCAGGCGAGCUGCUGAGGUGUGAAAUGAAUCCUUACACCAACAUCUGGAAAUAGGAUUGUAUGUCUAAAAUGUACUGCAAAGAGCAGUGACAAUAAAACAAGCAGGGGCCCCCUGACCUGUCAGGUAUGUCACCACCUUCCCCAAACCCCCGAGUUUCUGCUCCCGGGUACAACCAUGUAAAUCACAACCUUGAAGAUAAGCAUUUACUGUGGAUUAGAGUGGAUUCAUUUGUCAUAAUACCCAUAUCAUCCAUCACAACCAUCCACAUCGGAUACACUGUCGACCAAAGGAUCAGAAUCUAAUCUCCCUUCGUCUUCCACCCAAAGGUCCUGACUGUGACCUGGGUGAUGAGCCGCCGGGUCAAAUUAUGAACACAGCCAUCGGACGCUCCUCAGUUCCUCACUGCACAGGAGGCUGGUGAGAAGCGUGGCCUUUGCCCUCGCGUUCAAAACCGCGACUCAGCUGCGAUUCUCACACCGAGCCCCAGUUUCCUCCGGCUAAUCUUUUAUUCAUUAUUUUAAUUUCACAUCGCAUCCUCCCACGGCCGGCGCUCCUUCCGAAGGUGGAUAAGUGCUUAUGAUGUCGUCAUUAAAACAACGGCUGCCAUUUAAAUUAUAGAUUGUGGUAACGGAUACGUGGCGAGAAGCACGCCCUGUUCCGGUCUGUGCACACAAUGAGGAUAGAUUGCCACUGAAGAUGACAAGAGGGAAGGUGAAGGCUCACGCGUCCUAUCUCGGAUGAAGAGUCUUCUACAUCAGUCAAGGGCAGUAAUUUUAUUUGAAGUGAUACAUCCGUAACACAAUAAACAAUCACGGGUUUCGUGUGCGAAUGAAAUGGAGCUUCAGGUUUGAGGGGCAUAUGCAAAGCGGUGCAGCAAUUGCGCAGCGGUUACCAAUGAAUAAUUUAUCAGGAUGAACUUAGAUGUCUCAUGUAACUUAUUACCUAAUUUUAGAAAAUGUAUACCCAUAUGGAUUUUGGAAAUAUCUUUGUGGGUAUUUUUCCCAGCUAUUCUCUUCCUUUUGGCUCUCCUUGCCGUCACUUGGUUUCUCUAUGGAAUCUUUUGUCAGUCACAUGUUAUCUUGUUUGAUAGAUUUACUUUGUGAAAUGUUAAUCUGACACAGUUUGAGUUGUAGGUUGAGAUAGGGUCGGCGGUACACCGGUUCAUACCGAAUCCCAGUAUAUAUUUUUUUUUGUUUUGUUUUGAUAUGAAUUUUUAAUAUACUGACAUACCGUUCGGAAAGUUGUGCUGUGUCAUGGUUUGUCUGUCUUUUAUUUUGUGAAUCAGGUUUUGUGUUUCCUCUUUUAUUUUGCCAAGUUUCUUAGUUUCCUGUCGUUCAUGUUUCCUUGUGGUUAUGUUAUGUCAUGCUGUGUUUCCUGUUUUAUUUUGUUAAGGUCUGCUGUUCCUGUCUGUGGUCCUAGUUUGUCCAUUGAUUGUUCAUUGGUUUCACCUGUGUUGAUUGUCAUCAUGUGUUUCACCUGUGUCUUGUCUGCCCUGACCCCUCUUGUGUAUAUAUAGCCCUGCUUUCCCUUUGUUCCUUGUCACGUUGUUAAUGUCAUCCCCAUGUCACCAUGGUCCUUGUUAUCAUAUCAAGUCAAGUCAGGUCAUGAUUCUUUAGAUUUUUGUAAUUUGUAUUUCCUGCCUUGCGCAGCGAUUUUUUUGUUUGAUUGUU